rnacentral:rRNA from 1 species
GACGAACGCUGGCGGCGUGCUUAACACAUGCAAGUCGAACGGAAAGGCCCUGCUUGCAGGGUGCUCGAGUGGCGAACGGGUGAGUAACACGUGGGUGAUCUGCCCCUUACUUUGGGAUAAGCCUGGGAAACUGGGUCUAAUACUGGAUAGGACCAUGCUGUAGGUGGUGUGGUGGAAAGAUUAGUUUCGGUAAGGGAUGAGCUCGCGGCCUAUCAGCUUGUUGGUGGGGUAAUGGCCUACCAAGGCGUCGACGGGUAGCCGGCCUGAGAGGGUGGACGGCCACAUUGGGACUGAGAUACGGCCCAGACUCAUACGGGAGGCAGCAGUGGGGAAUAUUGCACAAUGGGCGCAAGCCUGAUGCAGCGACGCCGCGUGGGGGAUGACGGCCUUCGGGUUGUAAACUCCUUUCAGCCAUGACGAAGCCCUUGUGGUGACGGUAGUGGUAGAAGAAGCACCGGCUAACUACGUG